GACGAACGCUGGCGGCGUGCCUAAUACAUGCAAGUAGAACGCACAGUUUAUACCGUAGCUUGCUACACCAUAGACUGUGAGUUGCGAACGGGUGAGUAACGCGUAGGUAACCUGCCUGGUAGCGGGGGAUAACUAUUGGAAACGAUAGCUAAUACCGCAUAAUAUUAAUUAUUGCAUGAUAAUUAAUUGAAAGGUGCAAUUGCACCACUACCAGAUGGACCUGCGUUGUAUUAGCUAGUAGGUGAGGUAACGGCUCACCUAGGCGACGAUACAUAGCCGACCUGAGAGGGUGAUCGGCCACACUGGGACUGAGACACGGCCCAGACUCCUACGGGAGGCAGCAGUAGGGAAUCUUCGGCAAUGGACGAAAGUCUGACCGAGAAACGCCGCGUGAGUGAAGAAGGUUUUCGGAUCGGAAAGCUCUGUUGUAAGAGAAGAACGGGUGUGAGAGUGGAAAGUUCACACUGUGACGGUAUCUGACCAGAAAGGGACGGCUAACUACGUG
rnacentral:rRNA from 1 species